UAUGUAGGGUGCGAGCGUUGUCCGGAAUUAUUGGGCGUAAAGAGCUCGUAGGCGGUGUGUCACGUCGGCCGUGAAAACCUGCAGCUUAACUGUGGGCGUGCGGUCGAUACGGGCAUCACUGGAGUUCGGCAGGGGAGACUGGAAUUCCUGGUGUAGCGGUGAAAUGCGCAGAUAUCAGGAGGAACACCGGUGGCGAAGGCGGGUCUCUGGGCCGAUACUGACGCUGAGGAGCGAAAGCGUGGGGAGCAAACAGG
rnacentral:rRNA from 1 species